rnacentral:rRNA from 1 species
GCGACGACGGGUAGCCGGCCUGAGAGGGUGACCGGCCACACUGGGACUGAGACACGGCCCAGACUCCUACGGGAGGCAGCAGUGGGGAAUAUUGCACAAUGGGCGGAAGCCUGAUGCAGCGACGCCGCGUGAGGGAUGACGGCCUUCGGGUUGUAAACCUCUUUCAGCAGGGAAGAAGCCACAAGUGACGGUACCUGCAGAAGAAGCGCCGGCUAACUACGUGCCAGCAGCCGCGGUAAUACGUAGGGCGCAAGCGUUGUCCGGAAUUAUUGGGCGUAAAGAGCUCGUAGGCGGUUUGUCGCGUCUGCUGUGAAAGCCCGGGGCUCAACCCCGGGUCUGCAGUGGGUACGGGCAGACUAGAGUGCAGUAGGGGAGACUGGAAUUCCUGGUGUAGCGGUGAAAUGCGCAGAUAUCAGGAGGAACACCGAUGGCGAAGGCAGGUCUCUGGGCUGUUACUGACGCUGAGGAGCGAAAGCAUGGGGAGCGAACAGGAUUAGAUACCCUGGUAGUCCAUGCCGUAAACGUUGGGSACUAGGUGUGGGGGACAUUCCACGUUCUCCGCGCCGUAGCUAACGCAUUAAGUGCCCCGCCUGGGGAGUACGG